rnacentral:rRNA from 1 species
UUUCCGGUUGAUCCUGCCGGAGGCCACUGCUAUGGGGGUCCGACUAAGCCAUGCGAGUCAUGGGGCGCGCUCUGCGCGCACCGGCGGACGGCUCAGUAACACGUCGGUAACCUACCCUCGGGAGGGGGAUAACCCCGGGAAACUGGGGCUAAUCCCCCAUAGGCCUGAGGUACUGGAAGGUCCUCAGGCCGAAAGGGCGUAAGCCGCCCGAGGAUGGGCCGGCGGCCGAUUAGGUAGUUGGUGGGGUAACGGCCCACCAAGCCGAAGAUCGGUACGGGCCAUGAGAGCGGGAGCCCGGAGAUGGACACUGAGACACGGGUCCAGGCCCUACGGGGCGCAGCAGGCGCGAAACCUCCGCAAUGCGGGCAACCGCGACGGGGGGACCCCCAGUGCCGUGGCAACGCCACGGCUUUUCCGGAGUGUAAAAAGCUCCGGGAAUAAGGGCUGGGCAAGGCCGGUGGCAGCCGCCGCGGUAAUACCGGCGGCCCGAGUGGUGGCCGCUAUUAUUGGGCCUAAAGCGUCCGUAGCCGGGCCCGUAAGUCCCUGGCGAAAUCCCACGGCUCAACCGUGGGGCUUGCUGGGGAUACCGCGGGCCUUGGGACCGGGAGAGGCCGGGGGUACCCCUGGGGUAGGGGUGAAAUCCUAUAAUCCCAGGGGGACCGCCAGUGGCGAAGGCGCCCGGCUGGAACGGGUCCGACGGUGAGGGACGAAGGCCAGGGGAGCGAACCGGAUUAGAUACCCGGGUAGUCCUGGCUGUAAAGGAUGCGGGCUAGGUGUCGGGCGAGCUUCGAGCUCGCCCGGUGCCGAAGGGAAGCCGUUAAGCCCGCCGCCUGGGGAGUACGGCCGCAAGGCUGAAACUUAAAGGAAUUGGCGGGGGAGCACCACAAGGGGUGGAGCCUGCGGCUUAAUUGGAGUCAACGCCGGAA